UGGGAUGUAGCCAAGUGGUAAGGCAACGGACUUUGACUCCGUCAUUCGAAGGUUCGAACCCUUCCAUCCCAGCCA
rnacentral:tRNA from 1 species